rnacentral:sRNA from 1 species
AGCGGCCAAAGGGAGCAGACUGUAAAUCUGCCGUCAUCGACUUCGAAGGUUCGAAUCCUUCCCCCACCACCAUCUUCUCGUUGCUGAUACGCAUUGAGUUAAAGCGAAUCAGAAAGGGAAGGAUAACGUGCUUUAGCGCGGCCCGAAGGGUGAGGAACGAAGUGACGAAUAAUCCUUCCCCCACCACCA